GACAGAGGGUGCAAACGUUGUUCGGAAUUACUGGGCGUAAAGCGCGUGUAGGCGGCAGCGCAAGUCGGGCGUGAAAUCCCACGGCUCAACCGUGGAAGUGCACUCGAAACUGCGCAGCUAGAGUCCUGGAGAGGAAGGUGGAAUGCUUGGUGUAGAGGUGAAAUUCGUAGAUAUCAAGCGGAACACCGGUGGCGAAGCGACCUUCUGGACAGUGACUGACGCUGAGACGCGAAAGCGUGGGGAGCAAACAGG
rnacentral:rRNA from 1 species